rnacentral:rRNA from 1 species
CCUACGGGUGGCAGCAGUGAGGAAUAUUGGUCAAUGGACGAGAGUCUGAACCAGCCAAGUAGCGUGAAGGAUGACUGCCCUAUGGGUUGUAAACUUCUUUUAUAUGGGAAUAAAAUGUUCCACGUGUGGGAUUUUGUAUGUACCAUAUGAAUAAGGAUCGGCUAACUCCGUGCCAGCAGCCGCGGUAAUACGGAGGAUCCGAGCGUUAUCCGGAUUUAUUGGGUUUAAAGGGAGCGUAGGUGGAUUGUUAAGUCAGUUGUGAAAGUUUGCGGCUCAACCGUAAAAUUGCAGUUGAAACUGGCAGUCUUGAGUACAGUAGAGGUGGGCGGAAUUCGUGGUGUAGCGGUGAAAUGCUUAGAUAUCACGAAGAACUCCGAUUGCGAAGGCAGCUCACUGGACUGCAACUGACACUGAGGCUCGAAAGCGCGGGUAUCGAACAGGAUUAGAUACCCCAGUAGUC